AACUUAUUUAAAUAUAUUUGUGAAAACUAAAAAGUGAAAAUAUAAAGUAGGAAUUGAGCAGUCAUCAAGUUUGAUUUAAUCACAUGUUGGGAUAUCUAUAGGGGUAGAUAGUACAUUGUAUUUUUUUUUUUAAUAUUGCAUGUAUAUAUAGCUUUUACAUUCCUAGUCUUAAUAUUUUAUUUUCAAAACCCCAAUCCAUUGAUGGCAGGGGAUAUAGUUAUCAUGGUUAUAGUAAUGUUUUUUUCAAACAUUAUAGUUAUAUUUUUAUCUGUCUGUUAUUUAUUUUUCUAUGAACCAAUUAUCAACUACCAUUUGUUAUUGUAAUACUGGCUAAACGAUUUGGCUAAUCUAAAACUAGGUAUACAUAAAAACCAGAAAAAGUUAACUCAUUGGUCCAGUUCAAAGCAUUCUCAUGAGCCCUUACUGGUUUAAAAACUUUUUAAUCUUCAUUAAACAUUUCAGAGGUUAAGGAUCAAUGACAAAUCCGUGUUUGCAUGUUAAAAGCAUGGAAAGAAAUUCAUGGAUAGUUUUUGGAUCAGAGAUAACUGGUCAAGCUGAGGUUUGAGUUUCCAAUGUUUAUUCAUUUAGUAUACUAAAUUCUAGAAGAAGAAUAGCAAUAGGAAUAUGUUUAAGUUUUAUGUUACAUUUGUUAUUUUUACAUGUACAGCACUCA
rnacentral:lncRNA from 1 species